GCCGACUGUCAUAGACAUUUCAAAAAGUACAGCGACCCGUAGGAGGCUCGUGCCAACCCACCAAAUGCAUUGGUUGGACGUGAUGAGGAUUGACACUUCCUCUGCGACCAUUAUAUCAGCCGUGCAUUCCAGGAGCAAUCACGGACGAACAAGGCUGCUAGACAGAAGCAGCCUUACAAUCAUAGUAGCGAGUCCAAGUCGUUUCUAUAACGACAGUAUGAGCUCGCUGAAAGAAGAGGGCAGCCGGUCGAUCGUGUGGAAUUGUUCCGAGAAACACACGUUCGAGCUGGGACAUUCGUGUCGCAGGCCGCCGAGGAUGCGCAUAAUCAAAUGCUGGAACUCCAAUCCCAGCCUAUCCCAGAGGGUAGUCAGCCACUCUCUGAGGAUGAGAUAUGCGAUCAGGUGUUGGGUAG